rnacentral:piRNA from 1 species
AAAAGAUUGUUAAGAAGUCCAAACCUGAG